UGCCUCACAAGGGGUGUACGUCAGAGAGA
rnacentral:piRNA from 1 species